rnacentral:rRNA from 1 species
UACAGAGGUCUCAAGCGUUGUUCGGAUUCAUUGGGCGUAAAGGGUGCGUAGGCGGCGCGGUAAGUCGGGUGUGAAAUCUCGGAGCUUAACUCCGAAACUGCAUUCGAUACUGCUGUGCUUGAGGACUGGAGAGGAGACUGGAAUUUACGGUGUGGCGGUGAAAUGCGUAGAUAUCGUAAGGAAGACCUGUGGCGAAGGCGGGUCUCUGGACAGUUCCUGACGCUGAGGCACGAAGGUCAGGGGAGCAAACGGG